CCUACGGGCGGCAGCAGUGGGGAAUAUUGGACAAUGGGGGGAACCCUGAUCCAGCCAUGCCGCGUGUGUGAAGAAGGCCCUCGGGUUGUAAAGCACUUUCAGUGAGGAAGAACGCCUGGUGGUUAAUACCCAUCAGGAAAGACAUCACUCACAGAAGAAGCACCGGCUAACUCCGUGCCAGCAGCCGCGGUAAUACGGAGGGUGCGAGCGUUAAUCGGAAUUACUGGGCGUAAAGCGCGCGUAGGUGGCUUGAUAAGCCGGUUGUGAAAGCCCCGGGCUCAACCUGGGAACGGCAUCCGGAACUGUCAAGCUAGAGUGCAGGAGAGGAAGGCAGAAUUCCCGGUGUAGCGGUGAAAUGCGUAGAGAUCGGGAGGAAUACCAGUGGCGAAGGCGGCCUUCUGGACUGACACUGACACUGAGGUGCGAAAGCGUGGGUAGCAUACAGGAUUAGAUACCCGAGUAGUC
rnacentral:rRNA from 1 species